GUAGUCGGAUUCGUAUCAAUCCACAUGCGUUGGGGUGGAUUGAAGUAGAAUUUGAACUAAUUAAAUUACACCAUAAUUCACUCCAACACAUGUGGAUUGAGAUGCCGACA
rnacentral:pre_miRNA from 1 species